UCCGUAGGUGAACCUGCGGAGGGAUCAUUACCGAGUGAGGGCCCCCGGCCCGACCUCCUACCCCAUGUGACCUCACUAUGUUGCCUCGGGGGCGACCCGGCCUUCGGGCUGUUUGCCCCCGGCGGACACCUCAACUCUGCAUCUUUGCGUCGGAGUCUUAUGAUAAAUCAAUCAAAACUUUCAACAACGGAUCUCUUGGUUCUGGCAUCGAUGAAGAACGCAGCGAAAUGCGAUAAGUAAUGUGAAUUGCAGAAUUCAGUGAAUCAUCGAAUCUUUGAACGCACAUUGCGCCCUCUGGUAUUCCGGGGGGCAUGCCUGUUCGAGCGUCAUUUCACCACUCAAGCCUCGCUUGGUAUUGGGCGCCGCGGCCUUCCGCGCGCCCCAAUGUCUCCGGCUGAGCCAUCUAUCUCAGAGCGUUGUGGUAAACGUUCCGCUUGCGAGUGCGAUGGCUGUGCGCCGUUAAACCCUUUUCUAUCAAAGGUUGACCUCGGAUCAGGUAGGGAUACCCGCUGAACUUAAGCAUAUCAAUAAGCGGAGGA
rnacentral:rRNA from 1 species